GCUGGCCCCGAGAUGAGUCAUCCCUAGAGCUUCGAGCUCUCUAAAGGGUUGUCGUAGACGACGACGUUGAUAGGCAGGGUGUGUAAGCGCUGUGAGGCGUUGAGCUAACCUGUACUAAUUGCCCGUGAGGCUUAACCAUACAACACCCAAG
rnacentral:rRNA from 1 species